CCUACGGGAGGCAGCAGUGAGGAAUAUUGGUCAAUGGGCGCGAGCCUGAACCAGCCAAGUCGCGUGAAGGAUGACUGCCCUACGGGUUGUAAACUUCUUUUAUAAAGGAAUAAAGUGAGGCACGUGUGCCUUUUUGUAUGUACUUUAUGAAUAAGGAUCGGCUAACUCCGUGCCAGCAGCCGCGGUAAUACGGAGGAUCCGAGCGUUAUCCGGAUUUAUUGGGUUUAAAGGGAGCGUAGAUGGGUUGUUAAGUCAGAUGUGAAAGUCUGCGGCUCAACCGCGAAAUUGCAAUUGAUACUGGCGGCCUUGAGUACAGUUGAGGUAGGCGGAAUGCGUGGUGUAGCGGUGAAAUGCUUAGAUAUCACGAAGAACACCGAUUGCGAAGGCAGCUUACCAAACUGCCACUGACAUUGAGGCACGAAAGUGUGGGUAUCAAACAGGAUUAGAUACCCUGGUAGUC
rnacentral:rRNA from 1 species